AAACUUUGAAUUCAUGAAGAGCAUUCUUGAACUUGGUUGAAGCUUGUUGUAAUCUGAUCUCAUUCCUUACCAUAUAAGAACUUAAUAUUGACGUAGAAUUAUCUGAUUGUGUUUUGCUUGCAUACUCAUGAUCACCAUAUACAUAUUUGGAUCAUCUUCCUCCUUUCACCACUCUUGUUGAUCCAAGUAGCUGAUGUUUUGAUCAGUUUGCCAUACCCACAGCCUAUCCUUUUCUUUCAAG
rnacentral:lncRNA from 1 species